AAUAUGAUCCGUAUCAAUCCAACACCCGCAAACCGAAUCUCAUGGACGAAAAAUAAGACCCAUGGACCUCCAUGGGUCUUGUUUUUCUUCUUGCAGACCAACAAGCCCAUAGGCAUAAACUUGGGCUGGGACUUCGAUGGACUCCAGCAAGCCAUGGGCUGAGCUGGCCAACAAGCUUCGUUCAUAUUGGAAAAAUUCUUUAUGCAUCGUGAGUGGU
rnacentral:lncRNA from 1 species